rnacentral:rRNA from 1 species
GUCUAUGGCCAUGCCACCCUAAACGCACCUGAUCUUGUUUGAUCUCGGAAGCAGAGUCGGGCCUGGUUAAUACUUGGAUGGGAGACUACCUAGGAAUACCAGGUGCUGUAGGAG